rnacentral:rRNA from 1 species
ACGCUGGCGGCGUGCCUAACACAUGCAAGUCGAACGGGGUUGAGCCCUUCGGGACUCAACUUAGUGGCGAACGGGUGAGUAACGCGUGAAGAACCUGCCUUCCAGUGGGGGACAACAGUUGGAAACGACUGCUAAUACCGCAUAAUACUUCCGAAAGGCAUCUUUGGAAGUCAAAGAUUUAUUGCUGAAGGAUGGGCUCAUGUCUGAUUAGCUAGUUGGUAGGGUAACGGCCUACCAAGGCGACGAUCAGUAGCCGGUCUGAGAGGAUGAACGGCCACACUGGGACUGAGAUACGGCCCAGACUCCUACGGGAGGCAGCAGUGGGGAAUAUUGGGCAAUGGGGGAAACCCUGACCCAGCAACGCCGCGUGAAGGAAGAAGGCCUUCGGGUUGUAAACUUCUUUUAGCAGGGACGAAGAACGUGACGGUACCUGCAGAAAAAGCAACGGCUAACUACGUG